GAGGAGUUGGAGGUGGGUCUGACUAGGAACGGCCCAGUAGAGGAGUUGGAGGUGGGUCUGACUAGGAACGGCCCAGUAGAGGAGUUGGAGGCGGUUCUGUCUAGGAAUGGCCCAGUAGAGGAGUUGGAAGCGGUUCUGACAAGGAACGGCCCAGUAGAGGAGUUGGAGGCGGUUCUGACAAGGAACGGCCCAGUAGAAGAGUUGGAAGCGGGUCUGUCUAGGAACGGCCCAGCAGAGGAGUUGGAGGCGGGUCUGUCUAGGAAUGGCCCAGUAGAGGAGUUGGAGGUGGGUCUGACUAGGAACGGCCCAGUAGAGGAGUUGGAGGUGGGUCUGACUAGGAACGGCCCAGUAGAGGAGUUGGAGGUGGGUCUGACUAGGAACGGCCCAGUAGAGGAGUUGGAGGCGGUUCUGUCUAGGAAUGGCCCAGUAGAGGAGUUGGAGGCGGUUCUGUCUAGGAAUGGCCCAGUAGAGGAGUUGGAAGCGGUUCUGACAAGGAACGGCCCAGUAGAGGAGUUGGAGGCGGUUCUGACAAGGAACGGCCCAGUAGAAGAGUUGGAAGCGGGUCUGUCUAGGAACGGCCCAGUAGAGGAGUUGGAGGUGGGUCUGACUAGGAACGGCACAGUAGAGGAGUUGGAGGCGGUUCUGUCUAGGAAUGGCCCAGUAGAGGAAUUGGAGGCGGUUCUGUCUAGGAAUGGCCCAGUAGAGGAGUUGGAAGCGGUUCUGACAAGGAACGGCCCAGUAGAAGAGUUGGAAGCGGGUCUGUCUAGGAACGGCCCAGCAGAGGAGUUGGAGGCGGGUCUGUCUAGGAAUGGCCCAG
ensembl:lncRNA